AUGGGUGAUAGACACGUCAUCGAGGCAUACUGUUCUGGGCUGCCCAAUGGCCAAUCUCGUUCGUGGAAGCAGAUCCUGGUGUGGUGCGUGGCCAAUUGGAAGGCUUGUGCGUGUGGGGCGUCUCGACUGGAUGCUGGGUCUUGGUCUCUGAAGGUGGUCCCUGCUUCAUUACCGGGCCUGAUGUCAGUGAAAAAUCAAUUACGAUGCAAAAAAGGGCUGCUGCUCGCGUAUACACCAGAUAGCACCUCCCCGAGAUUGAGUGUGUCCAAGGCUGCCCUUUGUCCAAAAUUUAUAGGGCUUCAUUUGAGUCGUGCCUUUCUUUGCACCAUGCAGAUAUUGAAUCAACUGAUACGAAUACUGUGGCUGAAGCACUUGCAAGGUCCAAGAAGGUCUGUCUACGAGUGGACAGUAAAUCAACAACAAAGCAUGAUAAAGGCAAAUGAUAUGUUUCUUCCUGGCCAGAUGGCAUUUAUUUUACAAUAUGGCAAUGAUCAUUGUCAGCGUGGAUGGCUCUGUCUGUACUUGACACGAUUGCCAACAUCAUGUCAUACCUUACACUUGGAUCAUCAGGGAAGGUCUUCAAGAAGAAGAAAUGGAAGAGGUAUACAAAAGGUUUGCUCCUCCUCUCCUCUUUCGCUAGAUUUUCCCAAUAUGAUCAUUACACACAAUGAAGAUAUUUACAGCUACAGG
rnacentral:rRNA from 1 species